rnacentral:lncRNA from 1 species
AACAGAUCUUCAAACGUUUGUUCUGAUGAACUUAAAAGUUGUGGAUGUAAGUAUUUUUCUAUCAUUGAAUGAUUGAUUCUAGUAUACAAUAACUCAAAAAUGUUAAAUUUGCAAUAUUAUGACAUCAAGAGAUCGAUUUUCUCUACCCAAUACAUUAUUUCUUGCUUCAUUGUUAAAAUUUUACUAUUUUAAUGCUUCUUGGUAUUAAUAUUAAUGAGGUUGUUUCUGUACUGCAUUUUAGGUACUGUAAUUACAUGUCAAGGUGUACCAAGUUUGAGAGCUUGUUUUGGGCCGAAUAUGUUUACCGAGUGUACCACUUGCAGCAAUAGGACAAGAAUACAGUUACAGACAAUGUUAUCUUACAAAAUAAUGUAAUUUGGUAUUGACAAUUGAUUCACGUAUACAAAAAACUGUGGUAAAUGUUGGUCUGCAUGUUCCUUUGGUAAGCACGAUGAGUGGAGUGUGCAUCUUUAAACAUCCUUGUUACCAGCAAGAGGGUUCGGCAAAGAAAACUAUGG